UUUUUUUUUUGUCCUGUGAAAAUCUUUCCAAGUUUCACAACAUUUUAUUGAUAUAAAUUAGAGGUGCAAACGAGUCAAAUCGAUCCCGAACAGUGUUAUGCUUGAGCACAACUCGAUUGAGUUUAAAAUUCAACAUAUGAAAUUCAAUUCACUAAGAUCUUUGAAAUGCUCGAAUUCAACUUGAUUGGAGUCGAGCAAACUCGAGCUCGAGCCCAAUCGAGCUCAAACUUGAGUUCGACAUAUUGAGAUCGAUUAAAAAGGAGGCAUUUUGGAAAUUUACAAGAACUCAAUACCUUUAUAUGUAAUUUACUAUACACCAAUAAAUAUAUAUAUAUAUAUAUAUAUAUAUAUAUAUAUAUAUAUAUAUAUAUAUAUAUAUAUAUAUAUAUAUAUACAUACUGCUCGAUAACGCUCGACGAGCAAUCGAGCUUAACUAAAAAUGAUUGAUUUCAACAAAGAAAUCAGAAUUAAAUCACUAACCCUUAAUCGCAGGUAAACCUCAAAAGCCGGUAACUCUUGAGGCCACCCAAAGAACUAAUAAUCUAACCCCAAACCCCCCCCCCCCCCCCCCAAUUAACUAAAAAUGAUUGAUACUCAGCUCGUUUGAGUAAACGAGCCGAUCAAGAUCGACUCAAACUCGAUUAAUACUGAGCUGAGUCAAUCGUUUGAUCGAUUAACUCGCAAAUCGCUCAGUUCGUUUGCACCCCUAAUUCAAAUGCAUUUUACGAUGAAAACAAAAUAAAAAUAAAAGGUACUUCAAACUUUUUGCGUAGAUGAACUGCGCAGCCAUCAUCAAGGAAAUUGCACACAGCCAUCAUCAAGGAACUCCGGAGGGAAAGGGGAAGAAAGAGGAGGAAAUAGUCGGUUUGAAGAAUUGUCUGAUGCUUUUUAAAAAUCAUCUGAUACGUUGAUCUGAUGAAGUUCCCUGAUUCACAGUCUGUUGUCUCUGGGUUUUGGAGGCAAAGAAUUUAUUUAACAGCAACAGAAUCAUCAUAUAAUCCAUUGCUCUGCCUAGCAAUCAGUAAAUGGUUUUCAGGAGAGAUACCGGGUGGAACAUACUUUACAACUUGAGAGUGUAAUCCACGCUCCUUGAGCCACAUCAAUCUUCCAGCAUCAAUGAUAUCCUUACACAUGAAUCCCACCACUGCCCUCUCCACAGCGCUCAUAUUCCUAACAACGUCUCCCACUCCAGACUGACUUAAUUCUGCUCCAAUCUCUUCCUUCUCACUGUUUAAAAAAAAAAAAAAAAGAUCAAAGAAGCUUGUUAAAACAGAAACAACACAUCAAUUCCAUCCACGAGAGGAAAAGAAGAGGUGCGUCAUUAACAGAAUAUUUGGAAAGAUGAUAAAUAAAAAAGCUAUAUCAUGAUGUAACUAUCAAACAAGCAGUACGCUCCAAGUAUGCGUAAAAGAUACAUAUUUCAUCAAACUGCAAAGUCAGCAAUACAUGAUGGGAAGGCAUAUUAAGAUAUGUAGUAACAUAUUAUUUUUAGUAUGAUAUUUCAUUUACGCUCAUCCCCAUUGAAUUAAGAGUGGAUCUGUAGGUGUUUUGAAUGAAACCAUUGCAUCCACACCUCCCAUUCCACCAGACAAUCCAUAGUGCAAAAAAAGAAUAGGAAACAAACAAAUAACAAAAAGUUUCAUUCUGUACUUGAGACAUAGAUUCGGCGAGCUGUCAACGACAAAAAUGUCUGAUCCAUGGUCUGCAUCAACUGCCCAGCUAGUAAGCCAUGUCAUUGCAUGGAAAUCUUCCUUGGUCAAACCGAGAUUCAAUAUGUAGUUCUUAUCUGCAAUACAAUCCAGCUCUGAUCUCAUGAAAAACUAAUCAAGCCAAAUAAGUGCAGAUCGUGUAGAAACAAUGCUCCAUUUAUUUGUAGAGAAGGGCCAAAGAAAUUACUUAUGUAGUGUUUCCACUGACAAAGAUGAUGACAGCACGUAGCUAUAGCGAGACCUCUGAGGAAACAACUGGCUUUCAACUGAUCAGCAUGAUUUUGAGCACUUUGUUCCAAUAUGCAACACUUCAACGUCAUAUCUUUCCCACCACAAAAAAAAAAGGAUGAGUAGAAAAGGAAAGUGGUACUUAAGAGGUAAAAUGACCAGAGUCAUCAAAAUUCCAAGUUCCAAUUGCAACGUUUAUUACCUGUUGCCGGCCCACAAAGAUGUUUACCAAUUGCCAAAUAAGGAACCCCUUGCAAAGACUCGACAGCAUUCAAGUUCAAAUCUUCAACUGCAAAAGUAAGUAUUAUGUGAUAGGGAACUAGAAUGCUUGAAAUUUUAAGUGGAAAAAAAAUGCAUACCUUAAUUUUAGAGACUUGUAACAAUAAAUUUUUAGUGGAAAGUACACGACUUUCUAUGUUCCAUUAAACUAGGAAGAGAAAUAUAAGGAAAACAAAUAGAAAGCAUAAACUUCUCCGAAUCAGACAUGUUUGUAAUUGAGAUAUUGACAACACUCAUGGGAAAUUAAAAAAAAAAAAGUCUCCUGCAGAGAGGAGCCACUACUGUUGUCACUCAUCCUAAAUGGAAAAUUCGAUAUCAUUUCAAAGAAUAGAGAAUUUUUUUUUUUAAAAAAGAGAAAAGAUUCACCGAUCCAUAAGCAUUCCUAAUUCCUCCAUGCCAAAUAUAACAAAACAUAAGUAGGGAGAAGGCAACCGAUUUCAAAGUGAAGCAAUAUACUGAUAGUUUCAUCCUAUACAGGCAAAGCUUGUUUCGUUUACAAAAGCAACUGAUUGAUGGCAACCGUUCAGAAACAAUAUGACAACUUAUGCAGCAACAGGAGGGAAAUCAUUGGUCUUAGUAAAAAUAUACUCACACUAUUGUCAACUCAGCAUGAACCAGCAGUACAAGGAGACGAAGCAAUAAAAGACAAAAAAGACAAAGCAGUAAACAAGAGUUGUAAAAGGUUGAUGUGGGAAAAGCAGAACAAAUGGGAGAAAGUUAUAUGAAAUGUGAGAGAGAGAGAGAGAGGGAUGAAAAAUUGAACAACAGCAUUGCAAAGAACCUUACUAUCGAUCCUCAAGCGCUCCAACAACAGGUUCUCUAUUUGUCUCAAACUUCGAUCAGCCUAAAAGUAGCAAAGAUCACAAACAGCACGGAUGGAAAGAGCGUCAAACUAAUAAGGAGGUGAAAUGAGCUAGUGAAGCUUGAGAAUAACAUGAGCUGGGAAAAAAAUCUAAAUUACUGUUAUUAUUUUCUAUAGGGGACGGACAGGUGAUUGACCUUAAGCUUGUAGGACUUGCGCUCAACCAAAAGCACUUUUUUAAUCCCGUAGCAGUCAGCAAGCAAUUGGGUCAGGUAACCCCUCCCAGCUCCAAAUUCCACGACAGCAGGAACAUCAACAUCGCUGCGGUCUAGAGUCCUCGCAUCAAUUACAGCAUCCUCUACACCAGACUUGGGCAACAGUCCAAAUUCUUCCAGGUUACCAAGGAUGGAGGCCUGCUGCAAAACAUGUUUCUCUUGGAAGGGUAACUUCCUACAAUCGAAAAAAGAGCACUCCACCCAGCAGUAGGGUAAAGAAAUAAGUACAAGGAGUAACUUUAUUCGUUUAUGCUAGUACUAUUUAUUCAUCUAUUUGUUUAAUUUUUUCAUUUGGGAGAGUCAAAGGGGGGGGGGUGUUGUACCGAUCGAUUUGUCUACGAGUAGACCAAACAGCACAAGCUUGAGGAAUCUUGAAAGAAUCUUGAAUGCGGGUAUUAUCGGAGAGGGAUGCAUGAAUGCUCUUGAUUUUGCGGAUCAAGUCACAGAAUUCAGGGACAGUCUUGUUGUAGACAGCUCGUCUCUUCAUAUGUGAAGCAGUAGCAGUAUGAUCUUCAUCGAUGCCUCCGCCGGCAUUGAUGCCCUUUUGGUAAUAGGGUUGGAGGGAGAGAGACUGAGCUUGUUUGAGGGAAGGGCAUCUGGUAAGGUGAUUUUCAAGAUUAUGCUGGAGUACGGAGCUACGAGGGAGGGAGGAAGGAAGAGGGAGGAAAAAACAAUAACAGAAUCAGGAAAACACAACACAGGUAGAGUCGACGGAUAAAAUGAAAGUAAUAAAAGUACUGAAUGAGAAGCUAAAAGAUAGUAUUGGUUAAGAGUUUACUGAGAAGGGUCAAGGGGGCAUUGAAUCCAUUGGUGAUUGGACCUUUGCGUGUGGUUGCCGCAGAAACUGAAUCAGAGCCACCAGAGAUAAUGGUCGUGUUACUUGCUAGUAUUACUGAUGAAUGGAGUAUCUAUUAAGAGUAGACAAAAAGGCUUUGCAAGUAGGAGAAGAAGGAAAAAAGAAAAAGAAAAUACUGCUACCAAAGAGAGAGAGAGAGAGAGAGAGAGAGAGAGCUUACGAGGAAUUAGGGAGAGGAGCAUUGGCACAGAGUCUAUUCUUCUUUGGGAGCCGAAACUGGCAGCGCUCACUCUUCAAAUCCACCAUCAAUCAUCAAAGGGCAAGGCUACCAUCAUGUUUGUGUUUUGGAUACUACUAUUUAUGUUUGUCCGCUCCUCUUAUUGCUUUUCAAAUGCACCAUUCUCCGGCGGCGGCGGUCCCGGGAGGGUUUGGUGUGUGUUGCAGCAUCGUCUCUGCAGUUUUGGGACAUGCAUUGGGCCUCCUCUACGCGUUUGGGCCACUAAUAACCAACUGCUGACACUUGGUAUAGUAGUACAAGUGCACUUCUUCAUCUGUGUAUACUUUGUACAUCCCACCCCACAUCCGCCAAGUGGGUUGGGUGGGGUUUUAGUUUGCCGGCCCUGUAAGGAAAGGGUCCUGUCUGUCCUUAGAGUAGUACUGUAGUAUCUUGUCUUCAAGUUGAAGGAGCUCUGGAGGGAGGGUUCCCAAAACGAUUGAAAUUCUAGGCUUCAAGUUCAACAGUGUAAUUUUUUUCCACAUGGUGCGCAAUUCAAGUUUGUCAUCUUGCUUUACGCUACUGUCAACAAAUAUUUGGGGUAACGCAAGACAGUUUCUUAUUUCCCUUCAUGUGUGCGUUCGAGGAAUUAGCUGCGGCUCAUCUCAUGUACUUCAUUCAUAGAUUUUUUUUCUUUUUAAAUAAUCACGCGCACUUUUUUGCCCUAUUCCCUUCCGUCCAAUAUUUUAUUUACUUACCACCCAUUUGGUUCAAGCUCCGAAAUGGCAAUAACCAUAACCCCUCAAUGACAAUGGGUUUUCCAGGGAUUCCCUCUGGUGUAAACACAUGUUUGGUAGUGAUUGUGUUGCUAUAGGAAUCAACUUAUUUUUAAAUAUUUAUUUUCCUGCAUCAUCUUUGUGUCUCUACUGUUUGAAGAGAAUCUCCCAACCUUUCUCUCAGUCUACACCAAGUCCUUCACGAAUUGGUGAUGAUGGACUAAUCUCAAGAAAUUCCAUGAUCAUAACUCAAAUUUCUCAUCCAAUUUCAUGCGAUAUGACAAAUUAAACAAACCAAAACUUUCCGCUGAUUUGAAUAUGGAUUGGCAGCAAAUUUGCCUUCCUCUGAAACUCAUCAUGGAGAGAGAGGAGAUUUGCCUUUUUAUGGAUUGACAGCUGAGUUGUACAAGUUGCCUAAACAAAUUUAAGUGCAAAAGCAGUAAUGGAGAGAGAGGAGAUUUGCCUAUGAAACCCAUCAUGGCAGCAAAUUUGCCUUCCUCUAAUUCAAAUAUGGAUUGGAAGAAGAGCAAGAGUAGUAAUGGAGAGAGAGAGGAGAGGAGAGUGGAGUGUACAUGGCGGAAGGAAAGGAGAGAGCAAAGACCGUAGGAGGCGAAAGGGAGAGAAGGAUGAAGGUGAAUUUGGUCCGGAAUGGCGUUUGUCCACUUUUAGGUUUUCCAUAGUGAUAGAUCCAUACCUAUAGGUACCAACCAAACAUUAUGUAAAGGACUUGACAACUUAAAAAUCCGUUCCAUAGUGGUGAUUCCACCCAACCAAAUGAGUGGUUAUUUUUUUGAGUGCAACAUUAUGACAAUUGAUCCUGUACUGAAAGUAAGGAGAGGGGAAUGGGCCUGUUUAACCUAUUGAAAGGUUUGAAAUAAUCUAUCUAAUAAAUUCUCCUGAGGAUAAGGCAUACUGCAGCCAAGGGGCGGGAAAUUCUAUUGAGAGGUUCCAAGUAACCUAUCUAACAGAUUCUCUUGAGGGCAAGGCCCCAAAUGAAUGGUGUCCGAAAACGAAGGGUGUCCAAAUUUUUAUGUCGGCAGUAGCUCUACGCUUUGCGGGAAACAGGUAAGAGAGGGCCGAUGUAAAUUGCAUGGGUUUUGGGAUGCCGGAAAGAGAUGGCAGAAGAGUGUAUCCUAUCCUAUCCUGCUAUCAAACCUUCUCUCCAUUCCCCCUUCUUAAAAACCUGGAUCCGCUCUUUUUCCUGGCGCCACCCAGGACCUUUGUUGUUAUAAUGCCGGUUUAACUGAUUGAUUAUGAAGUGCCCCCCAACCCCUAAGCAAGCUUCUAAUAAUUCAAUAAUAUUGCUGUUACGCAAGCAGGCUGCAAAUUUAGUAGUAGUAUUACUUAUUAGUCGUAGUAUAUAUAACUGAAACAUGUUCUUCAACACAAACCGUUUGUUGCGUAUGCUACCACCGGAGCUAAUACUUUUUAUCUUCAAACUUUCUGGUGGGACAGAAAAUGCUCCACCAUUUUCCUUUGGUUUUCCGCAGAGGACAAAUAGAAUCUGGUCAGACCCAACUCAUUGACGUAGCCAGGAGGUCCGGCCGUUAAUUUUUUUGCUUCUUCUCAGCUGAAAUCCUGCCAUGGAAGAUUGAUGUUAGUUUCACAACAGAUGCUCGACCGAAGCCCAGGUCUUUUCAAAAGUAUUCACACAAAGGAUUUUUGGUCUUAAUAUAAUUAAUUCAUCUCCUUGAAUCUCCCCUGCUGCGUUGAAAGUAGCAGUGUAAUAAAUUCUCCUGCAUUUCAGACGCCAUUCAUUUCCAGGAAUGUACUUUUUUUAAUUAAGAAAUAAACACCCAAAACAAACAAACCCACACACCUCAAUGAUAUUUUGACUACUUCCUCGGAAACUAAUACAACCUCAAGUAUGUGUGGGGAAACAUUCUUGAAAAUAUGGAAUCUUUUCCUUUAGCUAGCAGCACGUAUGAUCCGUAGCAGGGAACGUGAACCAAAGCCAAUGCAAGGUACCUGAAAUUUAACAGACCCGAUAAAACUUGACUUUAAGCCUGCCUUUUAAGAAAAUGGCCAAAUAAAAAAUGCACAGUUGCUUUUACCAAAUCGGUGCCCAUGCAUUCGACAGAUCUAGGAAAGGAUAUGGCCACCUGUAAGAUUGCUCUUACCAUCAGACAACUCGGGAGCGGUUUCAAGAUAUAUAUAUAUUUUUUUUUUUAUUUAAGGAAGAGAAGAGGGCCAAGCCAGAAUUCUUUAGAAAGGGAUUUUACCAUGUAAUGCAACAUACAUGAAGAGCCCACUGGAAAACAACAUAAGAACUACUCCAAAGCACAAAGUAUACGAAGCCAAACCACGAAAAUGGCUGCAACAAUUAAACAGCAAGCUCCAUUCAUUAUGCCUAGGAAACAAAAACAGCUAAAAGAAAUUCUCAGGAGUCUAGGACAGGUAAACGUCAGGGGCAAAACUGAUACUUACAAGGCUGUUCAAAGUAGAAUCAAGGAUGAGAAAGACAGCAUUUACAGAGUGCAUGCAUGCCAUCAACUGCCAGAAACAACAGAGGAGGAUUAGCGAAACACCGAAACCAAAUAAACGUAACUGCAGAUCAGAAAUCAAAUGUAUGGGUUUUAGGGGCUAAUUAAGAUGUACAGCAAAUUCAACUGAGCAAUUUUAAGAAAGUGAACAACUUGUCUAUAAGUUACUGCAGGUGCCAAGGCGAUUAGGAAAUGAAAAGAGGGGAAAAGGCAUGAAACAUCAGCAACUUCAAUUCACUAGAGGCAAAAGCAACUAGGCACAAUCCCCUUUGCUCUUCAGAAACAAGUAUAUCAUAUUAGCUAGCUUCUGGUGUGUCAUCGGGGGAUUACCAGUGAAAAGGACACAAUAACAACAGCAGCUUGCUGUCUUUCUGUUUCAAAAGGGCUAAAUCAAAUUUCAAAGAAUUAACUGGUAAAGGAAAACCAAUCUCACAAUGCUGGAUAGAAAAACACACAUGAAAAUGGCUCAAAAAAGUAGAGAAUUACAAAGUGUUCAACACAUUGCUACUCACCAUGGUGAGUUGAAAAUGUUCACCGGACAUAAAUGGGAGUAAAAGGCACCAAAAAACUAUAUCUGUCAGCAUGACUGCACCUGCACAAGUCUGUGUAGAAGUUUCAAUCAGAUGCGGGUACUGCUUUAGUAGAACAAAUUCAUGGAACCGAAUGGAAAUUUUAAGCAAGACAGAUUACUAGAAGACAGUGUAAGUUCCCAUGGCAUAUAUGCAUCUUAGAAAUGUAGUAGAAAAUUAACUCUGAAAUUUUGUAAUUUAGUUUUCACAGAAGCUGCUGCAUUAGAGUUGUGCAACGGUAUAGGUCUAUCAUCAGCUGCCGGCAAAUAUGUCAAUAUCUUAUGACAUACAGGAACACUAUUGAGAGCAAAUCUGAGAUCAAGAGCCCCUCUAAAAUCCCCAAAAUCUGCAUGACUACAAAUCCAGGAAGCAAGGAUAGAACAAUAAAAUACGUUGGCCAUCGUAAUUCAAAAGUUUGAAAUACUGGAGGGUGCAAACUUAGACCUGCUUCUUGUGGUAGCCGAAAAUUCGUUCCAUUUCAUUUCUUCUAUAUUAUACAGUCAUAGCCAUGAAAAGCUCAAAGCAACAUUGAAGGAAGAUAUCCAAAUAAAAGGACAUGACUUUUAAGCUUCCAGUAGGUUCCAGAGUCCUUCUUGCCCAAAUGCUUCUACCACUCCAGAUAUAUGUGAUGGGACACAACUUCUAAAGCCAGGAUAAACAUUUGUUUUACUGUAAAUGCAUUAAUCAUUCAUGUGUUUAUGUAAUUGUUCAGGAUAACUCUGUUGCAUCCGAACCAUGCAAAAAUCAUAAAUGAAGCAUCUACUUUCCAAAACCGUUGCCUUUUCAACUCAGAACAGAUACAAGAGUUCUCUUGAUAAAUGUUUCUAAGAAGCAUUUCUUGUUUGUUUCAUGCUGUAAGAUGCCACCGAUGCCAAGAUACAUAUAUAUAAUGAAGCUCUCCUUUCUGACAUUGGAGACAGGGCUCAGCUCGCUCCUUAAUCAGAUGUUCUAGCCGAAUCAGCUGGAAGAGUUGAGACGAAGACUGAAAGAAAAAAAUAUUUGAAGGAUAUAAAAUUGGAUAUAACUCACGUAAUAUAUGCAUUGCAUAAGAACUCCCCAGAAGCCAGGUUGUUGGUCAAUGGGCACUUGGGCGUGACACUUGAUGAAACCUCCAUCAUCUUGAUUCAUGAUGGAAGUUGAUGAGACGUAUUCAUCAUUUUUAGAUUCUUCCUCCAAGUUCUUCUUAAGAAGCUUGUCCUUAUCUCCACUCUGAGCAAAGGGUGUCUUUGAGUGGAUCCAGCAUCCGUGGGCAGAGAUUAUGGUGGCCAGCUAGUAGUAACAUAAAGAAAGCAUUUGGGUGUGCGGGUGAAAAUACGCAUCAAACAAGGGAGAAAUGCAGACAGUGUAACCAAAAUUAUCCGUAUUACUUAGACUAGCUCGUAGUCGUAUCUCCGAAAACCAGAAAUUAAAAAAGGAGGCAGGGGCGAUGUAAAUACCGCAAAGUAGACAGCAACCAAUGCAAAAGUCCACCUGCAGAAGCAAAUAAAAUAAAAUAUAAUAUAAUAAAAAAUGGAGGACAAAUAUCAGGUCUGAGACUUGUUGGGUUCGGUUCCAACGUCCAACUUCCAAGCGGUAGAAGUUGAAAUGCUGUGCCGUCUGAUGGUGGUUGGUAGUCGUUGAAUAUGGAAAUACCGUUAAAAAAUCAGAAAAAUACUUGUUUGACACAUUUUUUUUUUAAUCUCUAGUCCUGGUCCUCCAGGAGAAGAGCUUAUUUGAAUUAACACUGAGUGCUAUGCAAAGCCAAGAAUAAAUGAUUCUUAAUUAGAGUUGAAUCACUAAUAGUGUAAACGGAAGGGGAAUAAUGUCAUAACAACCAACAUACGUAAGGAAGGAAGGAAGGAAGGAAUGAAGUGAAAAAGGAGUACUCCCAGCAAGUGAGAUGGGUUGGAGUGUGGGGGGUUGGGUUGGGGGUGUGGAACAGUAGCCUAGUAAGGUAGGUAAAGAAGUAGUAUACGUACUGGGUGUAGAAGAAGAAGAUGAAAAAUCCAAAGGCUCGGACGAUCUGAUAGAGGAAGAAAGUCAUGGUAAGGAAGGCCAAGGCUCGAUAGUAAAGAAGCCAAGUGGGAUGGAGGGUUGUCCAGCAGGGGAGCCAGAGUUGACGAUAAGUGGAGGCGCGGUGUCCCCGUUGUUGUUGUGAUGGUGGUGGUGGUGUUCUUGUAGUUGAUCUUGAUUUGAUGAUGAGAAUCAUAGAGAGGAGGGCGGGGAGAAGGAAGAUGAGUGCACAGACGAAGACUUGCCAUCGGAGCCAGUAGUGAUAGUAGUCGUCUGGGACUUGUUCUGCAGCAGCAUCCUUCCCCAUUAUAUUUCCGACCCCUCUCUCUCUCCCUCCCUCCUAUCUCAGGCCUUGGCCGGGGGAUGAUGAUUGUCCUUGUCGAGGAGGCGGUAAUUGUGAUGAUUGAGCAGUUGACUACUCAUGGGGCGCGGAAGGCCUUGCUCCUUUUGUUCCGGGAGGAAUAGCCUCCCUUCACACUGCGGCAGCGGGUGGUUGGAGGUUCAAUUCAGCACUUAAUAUUGAUUUUAACAUAUUUAAAUCAUUUGAUAAUAAAAAAUUAAACAUUUAAAUUAAUUAAAUGACACUAAAUUACUCAAACAAAACUUAUUCUCAAAAUUGAAUUCAUAUAGUUAAUACCAUUUUCUGAAUUUAAGUUAUGAAAUUUGACUUGAUAAAUGUGAAACUCAUAUUUUGUUCACAAAAUAUUCGGGCGGUAAUUUGGUUGGGUUUAGUCUAAACUUAUUUAUUACUUUUUUAAUUUUUUUUAAUAUAAUUACUAUAACCAUUAAGUUUCAAUGCUAAUUUGCUAUAACCAUUCAUAGAAUCACAAUAUUAAAACUGUACACGAACCAAUAACAGUUUAUUAAAAUAUAUACAAACUAAUAAUUUUUUAAUAAUAAUAUAUCCAAUUAGUUUAAAAGUACAUGAAAAAUAGUAAUAAAAUAUAUGAUUAAUUCUUCCUACACUGACAGUGUUUACACUAUCACCGUUGGAUUCAUGAUAUUUGUGCAAAAGUUAAAAUAUACAUUUUAAUUUUUGUACACAUAUCAUGAAUCCAACAGUGACAGUGUAUAAACUUUCAGUGUAUAUAAGAUUUACUCUAAAAUAUAAUCAACAAUAAAUACAUCUUCAAAUGCCCUCAAUUUGCUCCUACUAAGAAUUGUAUUCGAAUCUUUUGACAUAAGUAUGUAUAUUUAAUGGCCUUAGCUGGAUUGUGAUUUUCCAUAGAAAAUUUUUAUGUUUUUCGUAAACAAAUUUUUCAAUCAUCUUUUUACCUCACAUACAUCAAAUCGUUACAGUAUAUUUUUUUCACAAAACUCAUAAAAUUAAUAAAUAUAUUUUGACAUAUAACUCAUGAGUACAAAAUAUUAGUAUUAUAUAUUUAGAUAUAUAAUUAUAUAUAUGUAUCAAAAUAUGAAUAUAUUAUAUAUAAUUAUAUAUAUAGAUGUAAAUUAAAAGGUUGGGUGUAUAUCAGGUUUAAACCCACUACGAUCCAAACUCGACUAAUAUUUAACUUAGAUCUAAUAUUUAGAUCCAAACUCAAUCUAACUCAAAGUAAGGUUAAGUUUAUCUUGGGUUAACCCGACCCAUUAAUAAUACAUAGCCCGACCCGACCUACCCCUUCUCCUCCACACCCAACAAAAAAAUUGAAUAAAUGAAAAAAAUUAAAAAUGCUGGUACUGCUUACAGGAGGACUGAAGUGCGUCGUGGAAGUACCACGUGUUGAGAAAGGAUAGGCGGGAGGAGGGCGCAGCAAUUAGGGUUGGGCCUGGGCCAGCAGCGGCCACUCGUCGGCGAAUCCCCAUCCAUCCAUCAGUUUCCAGCAGCAGAGCCGGUAUCCAACUCCAGGAUUUCAGAUUUCAGCGCCGCAGUUCACAGUUGGCCAACCGCCCAGCACCACCACCACCCCCCUUCCCCAAAAAAAAAGAUCAACAGAAAUGUCUGCGACUGCUGCUGUGUCCCUCUCCUUCUUAAUCAGAACCCCCGUCUCGUCCUACCCCCUCCCUUGCUCGUCUAAUUCAAUUGCCAUUCCACCACCACCACCAUCAUCAUCUUUGACCAACUCACUACCGUCUUUUUCUGCUUAUGAUUCUUUCUCACCCUCAUUCUCCUCAUCUACUACUACAUUGGCCACCACCGCUAGAUGCAUUGGAGUUUUCCAUUCCCCCACUGCAAUUCCUACUCCUACUACUAGAACAAGUCGAACAAGUCCAAGUGGUGGUAUUAGUAGUAGAAGAAGAAGAUACUCCUAUUUUUACUACCGAAGGCAGAGGAAUCCCACCUUUCCCCUCAUCACCACACCUUCCAUUUCGCCUCCUCCUUCCCCCCUCGUCGUCAUGAUGGAGUGGCAGGAUUGCACGUACAUCUUUCUUCCAAUUCCCUAAACCCUCUCUCCUGUUUCCUUGUUUCAUUUUUCUUUUCUUCUUAGUUGCCCUUUGCUGCUACACUACUCUUGUUGUGUUACUAGUCCUACCUAAUUCAUUUCAUUUGCUGAUAAUUCUUUGUAAUUCAAAACUCUUACUAACUACUACAGCUUUUUCCUCUUUUUUUAAACAAAAAGGAGAAGAAGAAGUACUGCUUCGUUUCUCAUUUUCAUUUGCACCUCCCCGCUUCUUAUGACUUGCAAAAUCAUUUCCGGAUAAAAUGUUGCAGAGUUAAAAUGGAAAUAGACGUCCCAACUUCUGUCGCUUAUACUUGUUAUUCCGAUCGCGAGGCUAUUGCUCGAUGGAUGCCCUUCAUUUCUUCAGUCAAGGUUCUCUACCCCCCCCCCCCCCUCUCUCCUUUUUUCCCUCCUUUUUCUCCUUUUUUUCUUAUUUAUUCGCACGUAUUUAUGUCAUAUUCUUCUCCUCUUGUAAAUAGCCAUGAAAGUUCCCCUCAACGCAGUUGAAUUUUUGGUUUGAUGUCAAUAAAAUUAGUAAAUAUGUAAAUUAAGAAUGCCUGUUAAAUGUUCGUCAUUCCGCUACUGCCCGUAGACGAUUAUCCUGAUCCCAGUUGCUUCCUAUUUCCCAUAUAUUCUGAUACAUGCACAAUUCUACCGAUGUGAAACGUGAUCUUCCUUUCUGUUUCUCAGAUUCUGGAGGACAAGCCUGACCUAUCUCGUUGGUCCCUCGAAUACAAAGCAUUUGGCCUCGAUAUUGAAUUUUCUUGGCUUGCCAGAAACAUGCAGGUAAACACCGUCCGAAUGCCUUCCCAUUUUUUUCGUCAUUCUUUCUACUUCAUUCACUAUCAUUCAUGCUUUUUUCGGCGAUGAUAUUCCCCUAAACUUAUAUGCAGCCAAUUCCAAACCAGAAAAUCCAUUGGAGAUCUCUGGAUGGUCUCCCUAACAGGUAUUUCUGAGAUUGUCAGAAUGAUGGCCUAGUUUUAACAACUAAUAAAGAUGUGCCAUUUUUUUUCUGAAUUUUCAGGGGAGCUGUCAGAUUUUAUCCUAAAGGUGCUUCAUCAUGUAAUGUAGAAGUAAGAUUUCUUUAAACAUAUUCACCAUGCAUUUCAAUCAUUCAAUGUUUAGUGCAGUUAUAUGCUGGCGUUGAAUCUAUUCGGGCUUAAAAACCAAAGUGCGAUUAGAACAAUAAAAUGAAUUAAAGCAUGGAAAGAGCAUAUAUUAGUGGAAAACAAGCACCUUAAGCAUCUCUGAGUGUGAACCGUGAGAGUUUGAGUAGCUAAUUGAGUGGGAAGGCAUUGGAUUUCAAAUGGGAUGCUUUUUAAGUUCAAAAGUGUUAACCCGUUAACCUGGUUUUGUGCAUGUAUUACUUGAUACUUACCAUGCGCGUGUUUUUUACCCUUCUGGUCGUUCAGUCCCUGAAGAUCUAUUGAGUUCCUUGACCUUAGUUCUUUCUUAUGUCAGAUGACUGUCUCAUAUGAAGUCCCUCAGCUGUUGAUUCCAGUGGCAUCCGUAAGCAUUUAAACUUGAUUACAGAACCCUAUUCAUAGCUUAGGUCAAAGGUCAUAUAGAGGAAAUAACAGCUAAAGUUCAAUGUGGAUGAAGAGUAAAUAACUUGACUAUGCUUGCUGUACAAUGAUAAAAGUAUUAUACUAGAGAUGGAUCGAAGAGAAAUAGACUUUAGAAUUCCAAUUUCGGCUGAAUUUGAUUCAUUUGACGAAUUUCUCUGAUUCUAUACAUGUUCCAGGCUUUGCAACCUCUUCUUGAAAGUUUGCUGGUUCGUGGUUUAGAACGAUUUGCAAAAUUUGCUAAAGAAUAUUAUUCUCGCAACCCAACUGUCUGACGUCUAAUGUAAUUUUUCAAGAUUAUUACUUUAUGAUGACAAACAAUUAUAGUUGUACUUUUAGUAAUUGAUUGAAGAAACAAUGUCAAACUGGAGAUGCUAUCAAUGUUUGUAAAGAUUAAGUAGAAAGAAAGUGGAAUCUUCUUUGCUGGAAGUCCAAUACUCGCUUUUCUUGUUGCUUUACCUUUCUAAUUGUAAGCGUUUGGGGAUGGUUAGUCCUGAUUUCUCAUUUGGACGGUCACAGGGUCAUUGCAGUUUGUUUGUACGUUUACAGAAGUUCUCAGACAAAGCUGUUGCAUAACUUGUCUGUAAAAAAUUAUCCAAAUGGAGGGAUUGGGGCUGUUGCGGUUACAGGUUGCAUCUUGCCUUUGACGGCCUAAAACAACUGAGCCGAGCUCAGACUGAUUUAGGCUGUUGAAAAUUACCAACCCAUAUCAGUCUGAGAAAUGAAUUUCAAAUCGACGGUCCAGAACAGUGCGAACUCAGGUCGGCUUGGCUAAUUUUGGCAGUUAAACGUUUUUGGCGGUGCAACUGCCGUGAACUCGGAUCCCAAAUGGAGCUACCAAGACAAGGCACCAAAGUAUGACUGUGCAUCACUCUUGGUGCAUACAACAGGUGUUAGAGAGCUAGGGCAGUCAGCAUGAUUGCUUAAUAAUAGGCUCAACUUCUACUUUGGUGCCUAUCCUUGCUUAUCGCUUGAAAUUUCAAAAGUUACAUAUACCUUCCUUCAAAUCACCAUUUGGGUAGCAAGAACAAUUUAGUGAUCAAAAUUUUGAAUGAAUAAUCCAAAAUGUCCUCAUGAAAAUGUGAAGUUCAUUUUAUUUUUUCAUAAAAUUUUGGAACAUAUAUAAAUUCACAAAUCCACUUUCAACAUUAUUACUACUAGUCUCUAAAUUUGAAAAUCUUAAUUUAAACAAAAGAAAAAAAUCAGCACUAUUAAAUUUUAAAACAAUCACUAACUGCAUUAAUAUAACAUCCAAUCCCUUAAAUAUUUGCCAUCAAAUUCAUUAUUGAAAGCCUUAGAGCAGUAGCACGCACCGGGGAGAGCAGCGGGGCAAAUCCAAGUGUCUUUCAUCUCAAACUAGGGAUAAUUUCAGAAACCUCCGGCUUAUGACAAUUUCACUGCCCUCCCUUGUGAUUCUAAAAAUAUCACUAAUUUCCUUUGAAACCAAUUUUCUUGUAACAAUUUAAUCCAAUUCACAAAAAGUAACAAUAAAAAAAUAAUUUCAUAUGUGAGAAGAUUUGUUUAUGCCAAAAGUGCCCCUCAACUAUUAUAUUACUAUACAUAGUCAAUAAAAAUUUUUAUUAUCCAUAACAAAAAAUAACAACUUCCAAAAUUUAACAAAACUUUUUUUCCAUACCUUAAGAUUCUUGCUAUCACCGCAAUUAUAAGAAAAUUUAACUCAACUGAAAUCUCUUUAUAUUUAAUUCCUUUUAUUUAUCAAGUGCAUAAAUUGGAAAAAGAAUGCCUAGUGUUGGAUCCUCUUUAAAUGCCAAAUUAGUUUUUUUUUUUACAUUUCAAAUUAUGGUUAAUUUAGUUUGAAAACUGUUCAAUUGUUUCUCAAGUCUAAAUCCUUUAAUUUAUCAACUGCAUUACGUCUAAUUUCUUUUAUUUGUAAGCAUGUAAAAAUUUAAAAAGAUGCUCCAAAUAUUGGCUCUAUGUUUAAAUGGCAAAUUAAUUAACUUUUUACAAUCUAAAUCAUGCUUAAUGUAGUUAGCAAAAUUUUAACUCUUUUCCUUCACAUAUAUCUGUAAUUAUCCUAAAUUAUAAGGGUAAUAAAGUCAUUUAGCCAUUAGUGAUGUAAGUAUUGGGUCUUAAAUGACUGACAAAAGGGGAAGUAAGUAAAAUUUUUAAAAUCUUAGGAGAGAAAAAUGAAAUUGUCAAAAACCUCAAGAGAGGUUUCUGAAAUUAUCUCAUUAAACUAUUUAUAACUAUGACUAUUUUUACUUUUAAGUAUAUAUAUUUUCAACAUAACUAUCCCUAAACAUUAUCAGCUACCAAUCUAAAUUUAUUUUAUAAAAAAUAUUUAAAAAAUUAAAUAUUAUUUCAGUAAUAAAAAUUUUAUUUAAAAUAUAUGACUAUAAUUAUGUAUUUUUUGAUCGCACGCAUUGGGUAUGCAUUGAAUAUUGGUGCCUAAAAAUCAAGACAAAAAGGAAUGGGAUCCAAUAAAACUACUGUUUAAAAUUAGGCAAAUCCCACCAAAUUGCUAAAUAGCAAUUGCAUUCUAGGACUACUUAGAGCUCGAGCUCGUUAGGCAAACGAGCUUUAAAAUGUGUUCGAACUCGACUCAUCAAAUAUACAUGUGGCUCGAGCUCGACUCGUUUAUCACUAACGAGUCGAGCUUGUACGAGCUCAAGUUCGUGCAAAUUAACCUCAAUAAAAAUAUAUAAUUUUCAAUUUUUAUACUUUUGACUUCUAAAAUGAUAAAUAUACCAUUUAUUAACGAGUUCUAACGAGCUACUCGGAUAUCAAACGAGCCGAGCUACUCGACUCGUUAACUCGGCUCGUUAACUAAACGAACACAUUUCUAGUUCGAGCUCGGCUUGUUUACCGCAACUAGCGAGCCGAGCUCGAGCCUUAUCAAGCCGAACUCUAACGAGCUUUCGAGCUAUUCGUGAAGUUUAACAGCUCUCGAGAGCCAGGACUCAGGAACAGUGCAGUAAUAGCAGAUAGCGGCCGGAGGGGCGGGAUGUCACAUUGACUUGGCAAGUACCGGCCAGCGGCCGCUGUCAAAACACCUAUAAACUACUACUAGUAAAAAUUAAUAAAAACCCCAAAAAAAAGGGAUAAUUUUAGAAACCUCCCCUGAGGUUUCUAACAGUCUCAAGGACCUCCCCUGAAGUUUCAAAAAUUUCUUAUACCUCCCCUAAAACUAAGUAGAUAGUAUCAGAUUCAAUCCAAUUGAGGUGGACAAUGAAUAUAAAAUGUGUAUCAUUAGAGAGAAAAUAAAGAAAUUUCACCUCUGCCCUCGAGAUUGUCAUUAGUGAGGAUGUUUGUUUGAAAAUUUCAAUGGAAUCUUGUUCCUUUGAAAUUUCAGGGGGUGUAUGUGAAACUGAUGAAAAAAUGUAAGAAUGUAUUGCAAGAAAUUGUUUUCUGCUUCAUGUCAACGGCUCUCAAAGUAGUUGUUUGUAACAGAAAAAAGAAAUAGUAGUGUUGCUUUGGAGCUCUAUAUAAUUGCCUAUUGGAGUUGUAAGAGAAAGCAUUGGAUGUUGUUGGGUUGUGGCUGAGAUUUCUGCAAAAGUGCUCAUACAACUAUAAGCUGAACUACCUAUAAACAGAUACACAUGGCUUCUUCAAGCUUGGUAGAUUCAUCGUGGAAUUCUCCAACUUCAUUUUCAAUAAAAAAUAGAUAUUGCCAUUGUCAUCGGAAAGCAAGCAUUAAGAUUUCUGAGAGAAGGAGGAAUCCAAACAAGCUCUAUUUCUGCUGGUCAAAUUACAAAUUCUUUCAGUGAUUCGAAGGGCCUGAAGAAGGUGAAGUGAGCAGCCAAAGAACAGAUCAACGUUCAAGCAUGCAAAAGGAGGAUAAGAUACAGUUUGCCAAAGUAGAGCAGUUGAACUCCAUUGUGAAAUGACUGCUUAUAAUGAACCUGUUAUUCAUAGAUAUUUACAUUUUGUUGUUAAUAUUGUUUGAGUGGUUCGAAGGGUCUGAAUAUGGUGAAGUGAGCAGGCAAAGAGCAGAAAGACAUUCAAUCAUGCAAAGAGGUGAUCAAGUGCAGAAUUUGAAUGCUAUCCAGAUCAACUCCACAGUGAAAUUGAUGCUUAUAAUGAACCUUGUAUUUUUAGCUGUCUAUGUUGUUAUGUUGAUUGUAAAAGAGAUCAAAUGAGUAUUGGUUUAUAAUAGUAAAGAACCAAAUUCAUUAUUAUGUGCUUCCAAUUUUGCUUAUUGAAUACCACAUGACAGAUUACACAAAAACACAGUGUACAAGUAAUAGUGCAAAUGAAACUUCAGUUUCUGUUGAGAAGCAUUUCAUACUACUUAGUUGCAGCAAUACAAAAGGUUUGAGUGGGGUGGAAUUUAUAUGUACAACAGCCAAAUGUUUCCACUCAUGCAUCCAGAUUGAUACAAAAAGAUAAAUUUCUCCAAUGUCGACAACUAAUGAUCAGAUAUUCAUGUCAUUUGAUAUCCAAAUAACAAAAGACUCUUAAUCAGAUUCUACUAAAAGGUGAAGCUGCUAGUGACAUUGUGAGAAUCAUGAGAAACUGAAACAUUGAUGUUGACAUCAGUUUGUACUUGGGCACUUCCACUGGGAUGUAGUGCAGCAGUAUGCAUUACUGCAAUUGGUUGAGGUUCUGGUGUUGAAGUUCUCCUUUUAGGGUUAUAUACAGCAGAUGAAGCAGGUUUGUUGGAAGGUCAUCCUCUCUAAAAUUUUGGUCGAAGCAUGUAUUAAUAUACAGGCAUGUAAAUAAGUAUUAAAAGUGCAGCUAUGAUGUAAAAGGGAUUAAGGAACAAAUACCUUUCUUUUAGUAGCAUUGGUUACUGUUUGCAAAUUCAAGUCAGCAUUCAUUAAUGGUGAUUGAGUUGAUGGACUUGGGUUGCUGCCUUGACUAGAAACCACAAUAGGCACAUUGCCAUCAGCAUGAUCCUGCACAAAUCACCUAUGCAUUAGCUCAUCAGACAUUGUCAUCAUACGAAAAGAAUUGUAUGUGAAUCUAAAAGAAUUGUAACCCAUAGAACAGAUCCUGCAAGCCCUGUAUUUGCAAUUCCCCUUUCUGGCUUUCCUUUAGCAAAUUGAGUUACCUGACAUGAAAAUUGAUAACAAAUUACAAGCUCGCUUAGCAAUUUCAAUGCUGUCAUUUAAAUCACUAGACUGAACCUUGUUUGUGCCACUGGUGCUUGUACUUCUUUGUCUCAGAGGUGCUCUUUGACAUGUUAUAGUAUUAUGUCUAGUAGUUUUGCAGUUACCACAUCUCAUAGUGGUUGACCUUUUUGUUUGAGAUUGGCUUGGCUCAUCAAGCCCUCUCAUUCUAUUAACUCUUGGAUGACCUGGAGCUCUUCUCAAUGGUAGUGGAAGGACAGUUUUUGGUGUGACAUCAAUUAAUAGAAGCCAUCUCUUCUCGUGAGGAAUUGGAUGUAUCAUGCCACUGUAUGUCUUGAGAUACAUUUCUGUUGAGAAGCAAGGAUCACAGUAUAUCUUCAAUUUCUGUCUUCUGUAUAUAAUUCCAAGUGCAGCAUGCUUGCAUGGGAGUCCAGACAAUUGGAAAGCUCCACAGUCACAUGUCUUCUGCUUCAAACUCACUAUAAAUGCUCUGUCACCAUCAAUAACUUCAAACAAAUCCUCACUGGCCAUCUGCAAUUAACAUCUCCUAGAAUGUAUUGCAAUUUCAUUGAGCUUUUCUAUGAUAUUUUUUGGGAUAGUAGACGUCCAUGUGCAAGCAUUCUGCUAUCUUUUGUGUAAUUUCUUCAUAAAUUUUUUCCUUAGACCUUCAACAAGUGUCAGUAUUGGUUGACCCCUUAAAUCUCCAAUCCAAGCAUUGAAGGAUUCCGUGAAGUUGUUUGUGACAUGGUCACAUUUCAUUUCUAUUGAGAAUGCAUGUCUAGCCCAAGCAGAAACUGGAAUCUUGGAUAAGUACCUCCAUGCUUCUAUAUUCAUGUCCUUGAUUCUCUGCAUUGUUUCAUUAAAUCCAAUUGCAUCAUAACUUUUAGCAGCUUGCCAAAAGAAGCUAGUCAGCAACAUUCCAGGAAACUGAGACCUGAAGUUACUGUAAAUAUGUCUGCAACAGUAUCUUCCAAUUGCAAAUGACAGCAGCUGUUCAUAUGCAAACUUCAGCCCCUACAUGAAAAUCAAAAACCAGUCAGCAGUUUUUACCAUAUCUACACAGCAGGUUAUCCAAAUUUUAUCAAGUUCAGUGUUUAAUAAUACCUUUUAUCUAUCACUCAUGACAGUUAAGGGAGAAUUGUUAUGGAAUGGUUCAAAAAAAUUUUCAAAGAAAUGAAAGAACCAACUCCAAGUCUCUCUUUUUUCUACAUUAACAAUAGCAAAUGCAAUGGAAAAUAUGCUGUUAUUAGCAUCCAAUGUAACAGCAGUCAGCAAUACUCCACCAAAACUACCUUUCAAAUGACAUCCAUCAAAUCUAACAAAUGAUCUACAACCAACUAAAAAUCCAUCUUUCUGUCCUUUAAAGCUAAUAAAAAGUCUCAGGAACCUUGGUUCAACUAGUAGAUUUGAUCUGUCAUAAUGAAUCUUACAAAUACUACCAGGAUUAUGUUGCCUUAGAAGCACAUCAUAUUUUGGCAGUUUACUAUAUGAUUCUGAAUGUGUGCUUUCAAUCUCUUCUCUUGCCUUUUGUUUGGCUCUAUACACUUGCUGUAUGCUAGGAUGCACACCAUAUUUUAGCAUUUCAACUUCAAUGUCCUUUUUUGACAAGUGCGGAUGGGUUCUCAUCACAGCUAGCAGUUUCUUGGCCAUCCAGUCAGAGGUGGUCUCACGAUUUUUGUUAUCCAUCACACAUGUGUGUUCAGGUGUGUAUGUCUUAAUCAUAAAUAUUACUGAAUCAGCUAUAGGGGACGCAUGAAUCCUCCAUGUACAUCCAGCAACAUCACAGAUUGCAGUACACCUGAUUUUCUCAUUCUUCAGCCUUUUGAUGGGAAAUUCUUUUUGGAUCACAUAAUCCUUUAGUGCUGCUCUAAAGGCAUCAACAUUAGUGAAUAGUUGUCCCUUCUUGAAUUCUAUGUCCUCCCUUGGAUUGUAAGUCCACAUCUUGUUUCUUAGCACUUCUUUUAAAGGGUCAAUUUCUUGCUCAGAUUCAGAAUCUGGUACAAUUUCACCAGUUUCAUUAUCAUAAAAGUUUUGAAAAUCUUCAUCACUGCUAGAAAUCUCAGACAGAACCAUUAGCUCACCACCUAUAUCAUCUUCAUUGUCAUCAUCAAAUCCUUGCUACCAUGAUUCAUCAGAGCUAGAUUCACCCCCAUACCCCUCAUCUUGACUGUCAAUAACAUGAACAUUCUGCUCAUCAUCAGCCAAGGCAGAAUGUUUGUUCUGAAUUUCUGUGUACUCAUGGUCACAACAGUCAAUCUUCUUUCUGUUCAACAACAUGGUAGGUUGUUCAGCUAGGAUAAUAUUAAUAACACAAGUAGACACGCAGAGCUAAUGUAGGAAAAUAAGAAGACAUGCUCAGUUUUCUCACAGUCAGUAACCUCUUCAUCAGCCAUAAGCUACGUAGUAUCUAACCUUGCUUUGCUUCAAAUGCUCUCAGAACAGCAAUAUUUCACCCUUUGCAGCAAUACUUCACCUCAAUUUCUUCAACUCUCCCGCUUCUCCUGGAGUUCUCAAAUGUUCUUUUCAUUCUCAACAUGGCUCAUGAAGGUCUAUUCCUCAUCAAAAUUAACGAUCAGUCAGCUCUCAUUGUCAUAUCAACAACCAAAUGGGCGCCCAUUUUUGGCGCCUUUUCUCUUAACCGAAAUUAGCAAUUCAUUUUGCAUCCAAAUUCCAGUUAAGUUAAUUAAUCCUAUGUAUUACUCAUUUCACUAAUUAAUUCAUGUUAUUAUCAGAAUAUAUUACUUCAACAGCAGGGAUAUUUCUGUCAAUUCAACAUCUACGAUGUCAUUUUGGAGCCCAAUAAUCUGACAGGGAAUGUGUAAGGAAUUUUCGGAACUUCAGGGGGGUCCUUGAGACUGUCAGAAACCUCAGGGGAGGUUUCUGAAAUUAUCCCAAAAAAAAAAAUCCUACUGCGACUGCCACUAGUACACACCAAUGCUUUGCUUGGUUUCUCCUCACCUCAAUUUCAAUCUCCGAAAGAAGAAAGAAAGAAAGACAAGUUCAAGCUUGUUGCUGGUGGCUUUAAGCCUUUGACGCCAUCCUGCUUUGAAUUUCCCCUCAUUAGGUUUGAGUUUUUAGAUAUGGAUCGCAGCAGCACCUUCAGUAUCUGUUGCUACGUUUCCCCCAUAUUUGGUUUAGUCCUGUAAAUGCACCACCGCCACCAGAUCGCCGCUUCUUUUAAUGCCCGCCCCGAGUGAGUCUCUCUCUCUCUAUCUCUCACAGAGCGAGCCAAACACCCCCCCCCCCCCCCCCCCCCCAAAAAAUCCCAAAUGCCCAUCCGGCUUUUCUCAUUUUCAACAUCCCACCCGUGUUUUUCUUCCAUUUUUCACUUGCUUUGUCUAAUAAUUUCUAUGCUAUGAUUAACGUUGCUGAUUGGAAUGUUUCUCCCCUACUACUGGCCUUACUACUACUACCCCGAAUUUUUUUCCUUAAAAUACGAAAAUAAUAUAUCCAAAAUUUUUCUAGGGUUUGCUUUCUCACUCCCUAUCAAUUCCAAUUACUAGCAUUGUUAUGCAGUAUAAGAUGAAAGGUAGAAAGAGUGUUGACAAAUGAAUUUACGUCCCCUAGAAAGUAACUACUCCAAGUUGUAAAUACUCUGAUCCCUUCCAGCUUUUUCUAUACAAAUUUUUUUUUUAAUUUCAAAAUUUUCCCAAAUCACGGCAACCAUUACUACGGGCACCGUUUUGUACUGACCUCUUUGAUCUGCCAUGGAUUUCUUGCACGGAGCAACUCUUUUUAAUACACACCUUCUGUCGUCAGGAUCUGAAGCUGGCAAGUUUGUAGUUAAAAUGAUUCAUACAAUAGUAGCAGCUUGUUUCCAUGCUUUUACGAGCGUUUGUGUGCUGGAUUCAUGUAUGCUGUUUUAGAGUUUCAUUUGCUGCUCCAGCACAGGACGCGUGCGAUUUUCUUUUUCUUUCUUCUUUUCAUGUUGAGAGAUUAAACCUCUCGUGAUCCCCUCCAACUACAACCCCCCCCCCCUCCCCCCAAACAAACAAAAACACCGCCCACAAGCAAACCCCUUUCAAAGCAAAUACCUGUGAGUAUUUUGUAGAGUCUUGCACUUCUGCUAAUUGAUUCGGUCAACAAAUUCUUGACAGGAGCUUUCUUGAUUCUUCUUCUCCAUUCAGGCCCCUUCAGUCCUAACAAAUGACUGCCAUAACUGCUGCUUCUGCCAUUAGAGAUACCACUGCUCUUAUUAGAUUACCUCAAGAGAUGAAUGACCUCAGAAUCAGCGACGAUAAGGUACGAUUUUCGUAUCCUCGUCUCUCAAUUUUGUUUUUAGCUCUUUUGGCAUUGGAUUUCUUUUCAUCAUGAUCUUACACCUUCCAGUAUAAAUCAUUUCUUUUUUUUUUUUAUUUUCCAUCUAGGAAAUGGAAGCAACUGUCAUUAAUGGUAAUGGAACAGAGGCUGGACAUAUAAUUGUGACCACUGUUGGGGGUAAGAAUGGCCAGCCAAAGCAGGUGAGAAUUUUUGUCUCUUUUUUCCUGCUACAAGACGGCGCCUUAUGAGCGCGGAUUGUAUGUUGAGAUAGUUAUGCCUUUCUGUGCUAGACAAUCAGCUAUAUGGCUGAGCGUGCUGUUGGCCAAGGAUCCUUCGGAGUAGUUUUCCAGGUUAGUUACCUCCUCAGCGUUCCAUUGAUAUGCAUUUUCUAGUGGAGGGAAAUACUGGCGCUAGAUAAUGCAGCACAGUGGCGGAGCCACAUGUAAACAAGUGGGGCCAAUGGACACCAGUUCAUUUUGGGAAAAUUAACUUUUAAGCUUAGAAAAUUUAAAAGUUUUUAAAGUUGCAUUUUAUUUGCUCCCACUAAAUUUUAUCAAAUUCUCUUUUCUAUCUACAUUGACUCCCAAAUAAUUGAAAGUUCAUAAUUGUCACCGUUAGAAGAAUUUUGGAUUUACUUAAAAUUAAUUGUGGAACCUAAAUAUCUUUGUAGUCAAAUUUGUUUGAUUAUUUUAACAAAUUUGAGAUUGUGUUCAAUUUUGUUUAUCAAGCCGAGCUCGAACAACUUUUUAUCGAGUUGAGCUUUAGUAGCUUGAAUAUUUCCAAUUGUAUGGUAAUCAAGCUAAGCUCGAGUCGAGUUAAAAAAUUGACCAAACAUAAAAUACUAUUCGUAAUUGAUUUGAUAAUUCGCGGACCAAAUUCGAAUGAACUCUUACUGAACCAAACUAAAUUUGAGUAUUGAGUAGAUUGUUUGGUCUUUCAGUCCCAAUUUCAUUCCAUGGUGCUGUCAGAGAUUGAAGCCCCUUACUCUAGGGUCUUGGCUCCACCACAGAUGCCGCAUUCUUAUGUCGUUUAAUUCCCUCUGACUUUCUGGUAUUUGUGGUUUUACAGGCAAAAUGCUUAGAGACUGGUGAAACUGUUGCAAUAAAGAAGGUUCUUCAAGAUAAGAGAUACAAGAACCGGGAGUUACAAACUAUGCGUUUACUGGACCACCCUAAUGUCGUUUCCUUGAAGCACUGCUUCUUUUCAACCACCGAAAAGAAAGAGCUUUUCCUCAACUUAGUGGUGGAGUAUGUCCCUGAGACUGUUCAUCGCGUUAUAAAACAUUAUAGCAAGAUGAGCCAGAGGAUGCCGACAAUUUAUGUCAAGUUGUACACUUAUCAGGCAUGUAUUUGGCCUGUGUAUCAGAUGUUGAUAUUCUGUUUUCAGCUUAAUUGUUCCAAUUAAGUCUUUCUCGUGUUUUGUGCUGAAAGUUCUACUUAUUGCUGUGAGCUUUUGUGUAGAUUUUCAGAGCACUGGCCUACAUCCAUGGGGUUAUUGGAGUAUGCCAUAGGGAUAUUAAACCUCAAAAUCUUUUGGUAAGUGUAUAAGUGUACUCAAUACAUAUUACAUAUUUAGUUUGUUCUUAUUUGUCUGUGUUCUCUUGGAAAUUAUGGUUACUUUCAUUGUGGAGCGAAUUAUCGCCAUCAUGGUCAAACAUUUGUAUGCAGGAACUAAACUUGUCUUUACAUCACUUUGCUUGAUGAUGUUGUAGUAAUAACCUUAGAUUUUGUUAAUGAGUGUUUGUUUGCAGUGAACCUAAUGGCAUGGCACGCAAAAUCCUUAUGAACUUUUAAUUAUUUAAUUCUUGGGGCUUUUAUUUGUAAGAGAGAUGUCAAAGUUUGCAGUGAUUCUUUUCAUUUGCAGGUUAAUCCACAUACUCACCAAGUCAAAUUAUGCGAUUUUGGAAGUGCAAAAGUGCUGGUUUGUAUCUGCUUCAAAGUUUCCAUCUGAUAAAUGAAUAUUGUCUUAUCUUGCCUCUGUUCUUGAAUCAGUUGAUUUUAUAAUCUGCUCAAUGUGCAGGUAAAAGGUGAGCCCAAUAUUUCCUACAUUUGCUCUAGGUUCUAUCGGGCACCUGAACUAAUAUUUGGUGCGACUGAGUACACUACUGCAAUCGACAUUUGGUCCACUGGAUGUGUUUUGGCUGAAUUAUUGCUUGGACAGGUAGACGUCAUAAUUGUCGUCUUCUUCUUCUUUUUCUCUUCUUCUUUUACAGGGUUUUGUUUUAAUUCUAUUUAAGAUGUGUUUGUGCAACUUUCAGCCUCUCUUUCCUGGUGAAAGUGGAGUUGAUCAGCUUGUGGAAAUCAUAAAGGUGCGUAGUAUUUAGUUGUCAAGGCCAUAUCAACCAUGGAGGUAUUCUCCUAUCCCCAUUUGAUGAGUACGAGGUGUUUCAAGAUUAUUAUUGUUAAUAAAACCUGACAUGUUGGCCAUUAUUGGUAGAGUUGCUAUUGUAGUUGCUAGUCACAUUUUCUGGUAUAUGCUGCUUUUACCGGUGUAGGAUGGAUUUUGUGUUUUAAUUACUUGGUAUGAGACUAGGACGUGCUUGCUCAUGUGCAGGUUUUGGGAACCCCAACUAGGGAGGAAAUCAAAUGUAUGAAUCCCAACUACACAGAGUUUAAAUUUCCUCAAAUCAAGGCACACCCAUGGCACAAGGUAAGAAGGAUAUAGUCACAUGCCUCCUGUGUUGUCUUUAGAACUUGUUUUGCUUGUAUUCCUUCAAUUUACAGGUUGCUCAUCUUUGUAGAUAUUCCACAAGCGCAUGCCUCCUGAAGCUGUGGACCUUGUUUCAAGGCUAUUGCAGUAUUCUCCAAGUCUACGGAGCACAGCUGUGAGUUCAUGAUCAUGACGAAAAAACACGCAUGAAAUGACAUACGUUCUGUUUAUGCUUCUCACCCAUAAUAGUGGUUGUAAAAUUAUUUGUUUUUCUGGUGCUUUAAUAUCCCAUGAUUAUGAUUUCAUGUUUCUCUCUCCACUUGCUCACUGCCAAUGCAGUUGGAGGCAUUGAUCCAUCCCUUCUUUGACGAAUUACGGGAUCCCAAUACCCACCUACCAAAUGGGCGUUUUCUGCCUCCACUGUUCAACUUUAGACCUCAUGGUAAGUAGCAAGUCUUUGAAUGAAAAAUUUCAUAAUACCUGCCCUUGGCAUUUCUGAUGCAGAUUGUUUUCCUUUUUGGUUGUGCUGGCUAUUACUCAGAGCUCAAUGGGGUGCCAAUGGAGAUUAUGGUGAAGUUGAUCCCAGAGCAUGCUAGAAAGCAAUGCUCAUUCCUUAAUUUCUGAUUAUACAUGCUGAAUUUGGGAGAAAAGAAAACGCUUGCUCCGUUGAAAAGAACUUUUUGAAUAUUGUUUUAUUUUUUUCCCAUAUAACUUUUCGCCAUCGUUUUAUGUGUUUUAUUACCUUUUCCCUGUAUUAGCAGAGGAAAAGUUUCUGCUUAAUGUUUAUCCUCACUAUGGUUAGUACGUCCUGUGCUAACCAUACUAUUUUUUUUUAUAUUCUUUUCCCAUGUAGAUUGCCGCAUGUUAAUGAAUAGAAAUAGCUGGAUUACCAUUUUUUUCAUUUUGCCUUGUAAUCUAAAAAAGAAGAGUGAAAACAUUUGAAAAAUGGGAGUAGUGGCCCUGUUGAUUCUAUUCUUAUUUCUACCUGGUCUUUUUGGUUCAAGCAGUCGCCCUGUUGAUUAAACCACUAAAACGAUUCAGUGAGCGUUGUUUGGAAAGAGGGAAGGAUGGCCUGGUCUGGCCUGUCAGCAUUGUCUAAGAAGAUGCGCACCCGCCUGAUGCUUCCUCUUUUUGAUGGACCUGAGGAGUGGCCAUGAAUUACAGCAGGCGCCAGUGGCUGGUAUUCUACAGAGCGAACCAGAUGUCACUCCAAGGGGGUCCGUCUAAUUGGCAGAAGGGGUGAGAAAUGGUGGAAUCUUACCCUGCAAGGCACACAAGGCAUGUAAACAUGCUUUUGCAAUUAAUUUUGAUUAGUGCCAAAGACUUUUUAUCUUUCAAUCCAUUGGUAGGAGAAAACUUGUUAUAAAUUAAUUCACCAAAUUUUAUCCGCCCAGAAUGUUGAAAUCUAUAAUUCUCUAGUCUCUAAUGGUUCUGUCAUACAUUCAUGCUUAUCAUAAAAGGCAUGCAUUGGAUGCUCCAAGUUAGUAGGGAGUACCAACUGGAUUAAGGCAAUGAAGAAUUUGUCCUGCGGGGUACACACUAUCCAUGAUUGUAUCCAUAGGAUCAGGUUGUCAUGAGGUGGAUACUAGGAGUAUCACUCGUGGACCUGCCAUGGAAUUAAUUAGGUAAAAUACUCACUAUAUAGUACUACUACGUUACAGUUUCACCAUUUUUUUCGAGUUCUCUUUUCAGCUGAAUUAAAAACGAAAAAGAGUUAAAUCAUUUCAAUUAAUUUAUUAUUUUAAUCAGCAGUGAUUUUGAAAACAGAUUCCCAAAUGUUCUAUCCUUGGACACAAGGUCCACAAGUCAAUAGUAGAAUACAAGUAUUUUUAUUCUUGAAUUCCGUGAAUAUGUUGCCUAAGCCAGUAAGCCUUAACCCCUCUCCUAUUCAGCCGGUUGCUCGUAUCUCAAAAAGCAAAAGACAAAACAGCACCAUGGGAGACUAGGUGAUGUGAAAUCAUUCCAAAGAGCCCCGCCUUUGGGAAAAUUUUUUUUAAUUCUAAUUUGUAAAUGAGUCAAAUCUAAUUGAAUUUUAAUCUAAUUAAGGUUGUAAACGAGCUAAGUCGAGUUAAAUUUUAAUCUAAUUGAAUCAAAUUUUAACUUAAUUUUAUGAAACUUGAGUUCAAUGAACUUUUAAUGUAAAGUUCGAGCUCGAAUUUGACUCAGAUUCAAGUCAAGUCGGGUGAAGCUCAAGCUUAAAAAAAUAAAAAUAAUUAUUUUAUUUUUUAAAAAAAAUAAUUUUUUAAACAAUAAUAAAAUAUUAAAUAUAUAUAAUUUUACUAUUAAAAUUAAAAAUAUAUAUAUAUAUAUAUAUAUAAAAUCAAACCGAUUCCUGAACUAACAAAUUAGAGGUCGAAUUCGAAUUCAGAUUCAACUUGACCAGUUCAAACUCUAAUCAAAUUUUAACUGAAACGACAAGCGAGCAAGUUCGACUCACGUACAGCCUUACUUCAGAGUAAACGUCGUCAUAAACUAAUGCAUCCCUCUAACCUCCCCCUUAAAAAAAAAAAAUCUUUUUUUAAUGCCUCACUAAUACUCCUACCAUAUAUGUAUAAUUACAUAGUAAUACAUUAGUCGUGUGUCAGCAUAAAAGUGUAUAAUUGACGAGGAACAGAAACUUCCACACAGCAUAUUUGAACUGUUCAACCAAUGGCUCUCGCACAUAUUCCAAUUGCAAAGCAAUUAGGAUAUGUAAAUCUAAAACAAAACUGGAGGAUUCUUCCGAAUACAAGUUGGUAAGUCCGAGGCAUUUGGGUCGACUUUGUAUACCAUAAACAACUUUUCAGCUUCAAUUCAAAUGGGAAGAAAGCGAUAAAGAAGAAGACCCUUUAUUU
rnacentral:lncRNA from 1 species